rnacentral:lncRNA from 1 species
UCUCUCUCUCUCUCUCUCUCUCUCUCUCUCUCUCUCUCUCUCUAAUAAUGCCAAAAAAAUAAAAAUUACAAAUAUUAUUAAUAAUAUGUGAAAAAAAGAUUAAUGCAUAAUGGAUUCAAUAACACGUUAUAAACUACAUAAAGAAAAAUUUACAUAUAAGUAAUAAAAAAAUAACAAAAUAAAAAUAUAACAUUUUUAUCUGUUAUUUCUAAUUCUGUUUCACUAUAUCGAAAAAUACGAAACUUAUCCAUUCGAAGCGAAUCGAUAUAUAUUGCACAUAUUAAUUUUUCCCCGUUUGUGACCAAACCAUUCUUCUACGUCUCUUCAUUUCCAUACUGCAAACAAACAUCAGCAUCGGCAUCGUAAAUAACAAGGAAAGCGUGAUAUCAGAAUUUAAAUAUAUAACAUCGUAAUAUGCAUAAAUUUAAAUUGCACUUUAUACAUCUGCAGCCAUCUCGGAAAAAAGAAAGAGAGAGAGAGAGAAAGAGUGCGCGCAAAAUAGAAGCGAACGCGGCAUUUAAAACUCACGAAAUAACUCAUGCAAAUUAAAGAACGAUGAAAAAGAGCAAUCCGCAAAUGCCAAAAGGCGAGAGAAGCGGACGUAGAUGGCGGAGACAGAAACCGUAGCUAGUUCAGAGAUAUAGGCACGCGCCUAACAGACUAGUAAAGAGAACCGAGGGAAAAGAGCAGUUAGUACGAAUUGCUUCGUCGGUUCCUUAGACAGAAUAUCUUUCCUUGAUCCUACGUCUGGCAACGUUCGUUCCGCUUUGCUUCCAUUCCAUAUUUGGUGCCUCGUUCAUUCUCUCUCCUCAAUUUUGCAUGAAAAUUUAAAUAUCCUCUUUGGAUAAUUUAUAUCGCGCAUUGUAAUUAAGGAACAUUCAUAUAAAAUUUGUAUAUACAUAAUCGAGAGAAAGAUUAUCGAAAAGUAAAUAAAAUUUUUAAUUAAAAUCUCGUGCGCUAUUUUUCUGAUAAUUAACAAAGCCACUCUUUAUCUUCGACUUUGCGAGGUUUGCUCGCAAAGGAGAUAACAGCACGUAUGGUCUCGGCUGUUUAAAUUUUUGCCAGAUGCGACGAGAAUAUUGCGAUCCAAACGGGCCGUCAGGCACAACCGAUUCGAGCCGCGGCGUUUCCUUACUGUCCGUCUUGUGUUUCUGUCAGCGACGGAAGAGCCGUCUCCCCCAGUCGCGAGGCCUACUUCGAUCUCCAGGAGACUACUCCGACGACUUCCACGAGACUCCGCAGUACACAGAGAGAAAGGGUGGUUGUAACGGCGCCAGCAGGACCGUCAGACGCACGCGGUUCCGUCGCGAUUGUUCUACCGCAUUUACCUUCGAUUUGUCGGCGCUCUAUCUUCAACAAAUUACUUGCUAACUAUCCUCCUCUUUCUCCCUCUACGCGCUUCCACUGCAUCUGCACCUGUGUUAUUGACCUGGCAACACGCUUCCCUGAUUGCGUACAUUCGUACCUUGAUUACGUCAGUGUUAAUAAAACCAUCUGACUUACGACACUACGCGCAUGGAGAUGAUAAAACCGUCGACAUGUCAAAUCGCGAGAUAUCUGGAGACCUCCGGUUGAACAGCGAUUUCGAAAAUCUCGUUCAUGAUUUUAUGCAAAACAGAAAAAUAUCAGAAAAGCAAUGCAUGGAUAGCACUGAUCCUUUCAAAUCGCCAAACAACAAUAGGAUAGUAGAAGCAGAAUCCAAAAGUUCUCGAGUACACCAGGGUCUUACCGAAGAAAAUGGAAUUCGUUUUCUCCGAACAAUCUCGAGUGAGGGGGCAUACAGGGAAAGGGGGUAAGUGCACGGGACAAGGGGAUAGUUUAUGCCGCGAUAUCCAAAUGCGAUCGAAGAAAAGGAGGAACCCCGUUCGCGCGAAGGGAGGAGAGCGGGAGAGUCAUGGAGGAAAAAGGGUAAGGUAGUACAAGUCCGCCGUCAGCCGUACGUUCCCUCAUAGGCCGCGAGGAAGAUACCGAGGAAAAAGGGAAAAAAGAACAGACACGCGGAGAACGACGGUAGCGGCAAUAGCGUAGACGCACGCGGAGAAACGAAAGAGUGGGGGGGGGGGGGAGGAGAGGAAGGAAAGACGACCGGCCAUAACUUUCGAUCCCUCGGCAAUCUCGGUUUAUAGGGAGCGCCUCGCAUGACAAUGCGGAACGGUUCGGCAGGUGCCGCGCGCCAGAAGCCUAAUUCGACCGGCGGCACAUGCCGCUCGUAAACCAGACCGUAUAUACCGCUGUACCGCGCCGCACCGGAGACCACGGAGAAAGCCGGAGAGAGAUGUCGCCGGUAUGGCUUUCGUCAUUUGUACACACGACGGACGGACGCCGUAAAUGUAAUUUGGACGAGCGGCGGCGGAGAUACGAGCACCUAUCUCGAGAUCCAAAGAGAGCGUAACGCCCCAGCGCCAUAAAGGUAAACAUAAUGCCCGGCCCCAUUUGUAGCGAGCUGCGAAUUACUCGCACCGCUCUGCGUAAACGCGGCACAAACAACUAAUCCAAGUAACAACUGUAUCAUUAUUUCUUCAACGCAAAGCAACGUUUAUUUACGCCAAUAUCUUAACCGUAUGUAACGUGUAAUUUACGGUAAUCCUCGUAUCUCUGGUUUAUUCAUUCCUCGUCGAAAGAAUGACAUAGAGAUUUGUGAAAGUACAAAUACAAAUACAAAUUAUCGUUUGUAGAAAUGAAAAUUAGCUCGUAAAAAGCUUGAUCGAUUUGGGAUAAACGGGAAAAGCUCAUCGACAUAAGUCGGCUGAGGUUGUCUAUCGUGUAUAUAACACCGGGUUGCAGCCGAGUAAUGCGGUCCACGACGAUAAAUAAUAUAGUGGCAAGCCUCGCAAUCAAGGAGGGUCGAAAUAGAUGCCUAAUUCGACCAAAUUCGACCUGAACCUAAUCGGAUCAGCUCGCACCGCUCGUAAACUACAAAGACGACCAGCCGCAGUGGUAUACGAUCCAUCAUUCUGCACAGGAUCAGGCUCCAUAAAUGUAAUUCGGCUAAAUAGAGAUACUGUAGGCUGACACGUAACGAGGAAAGGUUAAUGAGAAAUACGGAAAGAGAGACGUAGGUGCCAUGCAAUAAUAAUCGAAUGAUGACGUGGUUAAUGCGCUUCCCAUUCAGUUAAAUAUGAACACGACCGCGUUUGAUAUUUUAUUUUUACAUUUUUGCGCUACAUCGUAUCAAACACACGAUGAACUAAGCGAAAAACUAGAAAUAUGGUAAUAUGUGACAUUUAGCUGAUACGCCUCCGCUGCUGCUGGUAUUUCCGUCGAUACGAAAUCGAUACUUUUAUUCAAUGAUGAGAAUUAAAUCGAGUACACGCGAAACUUCCCAGAUAGUAAAAUCGUACGAAUUUAUUUUAAUUUUAAGUUGCAGAUGGAACAUAAAAUAUUAAAGUAUCAGCUAUGUUAGAUCUAUUUAUAUCGUUAAUAGAAUAAAAACCACUUUUAUUUGGUCACAGUAAAAAGCUGCAAUUGCCCUUUGCGAUUGAAAAAGCAAUACCAGCGGCUAAACCUAACUGAACAAUGUGAAGAGACACGUCAAAAGGCAACAUUUAAUUUGGCUUCGCCCACUUGAUAAACCCCGCAGGCAUUAUAACGAAUGCAAACUCAAUACUUUGCUCGACUGUCGCGAAUGGUGCAAACUAAUCGACCAAAACGUAGGGAAGUACGAAAAACAGCGCGUUUCAUUCACCGAGAAUAGACAAACAUAAAAUUUUAUUUAACUACAAAUGUUAUUUUAUUUCAAAAAUAUCUCUGAGUUUUAAGUUGUAAAAAAUAGAAAAUUUAAUCCUGCUUUUUUUAUUAACAUCCAAACAAGUAAAUUUGGCCCAAAAUCAUCUAAAUGGAUAUUUAACUUCACGAACUAAAAAAUUGCAACAAUUAAUAAUCUUUCAUUCAUUUUCAGUCUUAAAAAAAAAAUAAUAAACUCUUUACAGUUCAUAGCAAUAAAUGUUACAUUUUAUAUGACAACUGACGUUCCUUUUCAAAGAGUAAUUCCGUUUCUUUCCUCAAUAACCACACUUCCUCGUUCUAGCGGUCGAGUGCCUUCGUCCUGGCCGCUUCGGCCGGCAUCAAGAACCGUUUCAAGUACUAUCCACGUACCAUGGGCACGAUUAGAAAGUUCGUCAUGCGGGAGGACGGCAGUCCGUCGACAAUUUGUCGCGUGAAACUUCAAUUUCCCGCGAACUCUGCGACCCUCUCUGUAACUUUAUUGUCGCUACGUCUGCUAACGGAUGGAAGGGGAAGGAGGGCGAAUCGAGUGGGGAUGGGACAACGAGCUAAGUAAGAGACGGAAGAAGAAGAAAGCAGCAUCCCAAAAGCUAUGGUCUCGCGCGCGCGUUUACCAGCACUCAGAGACUUUGCCCGAGCUUGCUCGCUCGCUCGCUCGCUGGAAGAGCCGAGAGCCCGAGUCUACAAUUCUGUCACGUACGCGUCAUAAGUCCUUCGUGCCUUUAAGUAAGAAGUAACACCAUGCCGUCCCCGCUAUUCCGUGUACUCGUGUCCCUAAGUAUCUCGCGCUCGUCUACGUAUAUACGAUUUAUCACGAGGACUGCCGAGGAGGAGCGAGAUUGGCGGUAACGUUAAUACCGAGCGUGAAAUGUUAAAAAAACUUGCGACUGCACGUGCAAGAAGUUACAAGGUAAUAAUAGUAUCUCUGUUGUUCCAAAUUCUUUUUAUCCCAACGAGAAGCUGACGCAAUCAAUUGCGCGACACUGCAGCUCGUAAAUUUACGCCGGAACACCUCCGCCGUCGGUCUAUGUCAAAGAAGUGCCCGUGUACGCGUAUCUCACCCGAGGUCCACCCUCUCGAUCUCGUAAAACCCCCCAGCGCUUACGGCGCUCAAUCGGAGCUGACCCAAAAAAUUCUGGCCGGGGACGUUCUCCGGCGUUGUCCGGCGAUCGCGUAAAGUUUCCGCCUCCGUCCCGAGCUGACUCGGCACCGUCUCUGAAACUCCGUUCACGUGCGCGUCAUAAGUCCUCGGCGUCUUUAAGUAAGAAGUAACGUCGCCGCGCUGGCGUACGCUCCACGGAGUACCACGGACGCCUCUCAAAGUACGCAGGAAGGCUUGGGCGGUGUGUGCUGCGAUCUACCCACUUAUACACACACCCUGUCGCCACGCUCCUCAAGAAGUCGCCGCCUAGGUAUAGGCGUGAGUAGCGCGAGGUGGCGGCGGAGGCGCCGAAGGUGCUAGGAGGUUCCGGGAGAUUCGGCCGGGCGGUCGGCGCGGAGGUGGCGAGGAUGGCGGUGUGCAGGGGUGGCUUGGUAGCGCCUUACGCCGGAGUUCACUUGACGAGGAGGUGGUGUGCGGCGGUCAGGCGUGGCCGGCAUACCAAAUCCGUGGGGUAUUCUGGUCAUGUAGUAGGUACGGGGUCCUAGCUUUCCAAGAGAGCGACUUGCCUACCUCUCUCUGCCGAAUCCUCCCUCCCCCGCUUCUACUCCUGCCUCUCAGUCUCCUGCAUUUUGCUCGUUCGCAAGCUACCUCUCGGUAGGAUGAGUGGGUGGGGGAGUAUUAAUUGGCUUACGAGGCGACACUCAUUAGCACUUUGAGUACGAGGGGUUGUGCGGACAAGGGAGGAGGUGAGAAACACCCUCCGGAGGCGUUGCUCGAGGCUACCUUGCGCGUCACGCGCCUUCCUACAGACUCUCUGGCUAACACCCGUUCCCGUCGAGGGCCGUUCCUCGCCUCGAGGCGAGGCAAAGCGACUCGUAAUACGAUAGUCGAACACUCGCUAUCGACGAGUCAUCUUCGAAAAGAGUAUCGGCCUACGCAUAAUUGGCCAAUAUUUUUAUUUUUAGUCGAUGAUUCUCCGUGAAGAAUACAUGUGUACAUUGCCGUGUGCCGAUUUGCAACUAUGGAAAUGAAGCGACGUCACCAUAGCUCGUUAUUUCGUGGCGUAACUAAUGAGAAAAAAAUUGGAAGCCUCGAUGAAAAACAGAACUGGAAGGCUAUCGAAAACGGCUAUCAUCCUUGAAUUGUCUCUGGCGUUCUCCGUUUCAUCGAUAACACUCGUCGGGCCACUCGGUGGUGUCUGAAUGUAACAGAAUGAAAAACGGAAAGCGAUCGAUUCCCCGCGCUCUUCGCGGGGAUCGUUCUUGAUUAAGUGUGAUUCACUCGUCGUUCUAAAUACAACUCGACACGAGAUAAUCGAAACGAACUUUCAAUUUGUUCGUUAUCCAAGCGAGAUACUCGCGACUUUUUUUUUACGAGUCUACACGAGUACUUGUUUUCUGUGUCUCUCAUAUCUGCUUGGAAAGCAUUCUUAUACACAGACCUCUGAUUAAUACAUUUAAUUGACUGCAUGAAAGCUGUGAUAUCUCAAACAACAAAAUGAGACAUUCAUAAUAAUGGUUUUCCCUCAAAAAAUUCUUCUCACAGAAGCUUUAGAAAGGUGCUUUUGCAGAAGUCAAUGUGAUCCCUGGUACAAUAAUAAUUCAUAUUUUAAAAGUCAAUCCGCCAAUUUGCAAAGCGUACUCGCUCCGUACUUCGAAAUUUCCAUCUUCCCGCGGUAAAAAACCUUAAUUCGCACGUGUCGAGACAAAAUUAGAAAUAUAAAAUCUCGGAGCGCGACGGGGCAACGAUCUGCAUUUCGGGGUACGGCGAAAAGAUACGGGGGGGGGGGGGAGAGGGAGGAAAGAGGAGGCGGGAUGAAUCGCGGGGUGGGAUUGCGGCCACGGAAUAUUUCGUGGUCGUCCGUGGAUUUGCGCCGUUGUGGUCAACCCGAUACUCCGAACUCUCUCAGUAGAUCCAAUUUGAUCGGAAGACCGCAACGUCUCUACGCCGACCUUGUGUAGAAACGGACAAUGUGUGUACGCCAUGCACGAGAUAACCUCGAAAUGCUCAAACCCCCGUGCAUCUCUCGUAGCCCACCGCACCACCCCCUCAUCUCGCUUCUCUGCCUCUCUCUCUCUCUCCUUCUGCAUAUCGUAUAUAUCUCUCCAUCCUGCACACGCUCAACUCCCCGACUCACCCGCCGGUAGACAAUGUUGCUCGAUAAGGCAUUGUUCCAGCGCGGUCUCGGGCUAUACGAGCCUCACCAGGCUACAUUAUCAUCCCUUCGCAAACGUUACUGCCCUAAACUUCGCUCGUCUGGCACUACCCGGUCAUACAUAUGCCCAUCGCAAAACGCGCGCUUUCUUUCCGUCCGCGCGUAAACGUUUUCGUAAAACUUGACAAAACAGAAACGAAAUAAGCAUCAUUACAGAGUAAUUCUACAACUGAACAGAUUUUCUGUUUAAAUUUUGAAAUUGUACACGUGUAUCGAGAUUAGCGUAUUUCUAAUUAAUAAAUUUCGUGAAAUAAAAUGUAGAAAAAAGUUUGACCAAUAAAUUUUUUUUACGAAAUAAUAAAUGUUUACAACGUAGACUUUCGUACAAACCGAUAAAUGUUUCGAAUCGCACCUAAAAUUGCUAAACUCUUAAUUCAUUUAUCACAGCGUCCAUUCUAUAGCAAGGUUAAGCGCUGCUUUUGUCUACUUUAUGAAAAGAACAUCCAGUUUUGACAUUUUAAAUCCUAGCCGCACUUAAUACGUAACACAACAACACUGUCAACGUUCAUCGACAUUUAAUCGCCGUCCUGUCGAUCAUUCUGAAUUUUGUGAAACCGUUCACGCACGUAUGCGUCAUUCUGUCUCCAUGGAUCGCGUUAUGUCACGCCCUUGCCUCAAUUAAAACCUAGAUUCACAAUUCAUUCCCCUUGCCGGCCAAAUCAUUUCGUAUAUUGUUGCCCCGCACAUCUGACGCAACAUAGGGGCAGACUACGGCAAAUUUUAAUGCCGAUAGAUGCUCCCCACUUCAUACAUAUGUAUGCGCGCAUCGGUAUGAAUAAUCCUUCACGUUGGCUACAGCUAUGACCAUAGAGAAGCCAUCAUCCAUCGUCCGUCAUAUCGUUAGAAUAGUAAAGACAACACCUGUCGGUCGUCAAAUCGGAAUAUAUUAUAAUGCACGUGCCAAAUUUUAAAAUCCAACCGAUCACGAUGACGCCGUUUUAUCGCGAUUUACAAGGCUGUGCGCCCCUUCGUGGUUACAAAUUAAAGAAACGUCAGAUAAGAAGCGGCAGAAGAGCGAGAACGUGUGAAGACGAUAAUCGCCGAGGCAACCUUCGGGAAGCCGAGGAGUUAAGUUCCUCGCGUUACGUUCCUCGCGCGCGAGAUUUGCAUUCGCGCAUUAGAAUUUGGCAUCCGCUUGGAAACGACGCGCGUCAUGCGGCGCAUCCCAUUACGCGACCGGCGUGCGGAGCUCGUGCAUUCAUAGGUAAUGAACCGCGCGCAAAGCUAGGUGCGCGCUCGCGUCCUCUGGGCUAUUCAACGUGAAGUGGAAGAGGGAAAAGAAGGAAAUCGCUAUCCACGAUUGUAGGAACGCGCGGCGCGGCGGCAGCGGCGGCUGCGACGAUUCGCUCGUUCCACGAACGUGGCACUACCUUCCCUCCGUCGUGUCGGGCAGGAAAUGCGAAUCCACUCGCUCGCAGCUGCGGCUGAGCGAGUGUGCACGCACGUCAUAUUAUUUUCCAUCGACGUAUCGCCGCUGGAGCCGAAGGCUGCAACAUCGGCGUACACGCAUAAUUUUUCAAUUUACCGCCGAGGAGAGCCGACGCAAUCACGCGGCGACGCGCACAUGGUGCCCGCCUACGACGAUACGGUACGUCGGGCUUCGUGACGGCGACGGAGUAAAAUCUCCGUCUGGGAAAAUGAAGAAACAUUGGAGAUGGUAAUCCGCGGUAAUUGUAAAUUCUAAUCGCGGAAGCGUUAAUGAGGUUUCUGUUAGUGUCUGUCGCUUGAUAAUUGACGAUGACCUAACGUGCGCGCAGUACGCCGACGCGGCCGUUUAUUUAUUCGUAUUCUUAUCAACAAGAACGGAAACCGACGCUGCCCGUUGAGGAAGGAGGCUUUACGAAGCGUUGAUAAAUCGAGCUCGCCUGCACGCCGCCGCUUAAUGUACGCCCCGAUAUGGAGGCCCCGAAGGCGGAGACGAAAUUGGUUUUGCGCGACGACGCCGACGACGACGACGACGACGACAAACUGGAUUUUCCUCGACAAACAAAACAGAUGCAUCGAUAAAACUUUGUCGAGGGCGUAUCGCUGAGUAUUUUUAGCGUCGAACACGUUGCAGGGUCGACCUGUCCCACCGCGGUUUGCUCGGCGCGUCCACUGAAAUAUACAAGGUCGGACAGAAUCUUCUAUUCCACGUAGAACGGCCGGACGAGGGUGGCGUAGCGCGCGCGCGGGUUUUCGAACAUUACAUAUUGACGAGUCUGGAAGGUUUCAUGGGUGAGGCUGUACGGAUGGUACGGCAUGACGCGAGAGCGGAAGUCCAACGGAGCACGGGAAAGAAGAGAGAAGAGAAGCGGAAAGGAGAGGCGACGGUGGAAGGAAAGUCGCUCGGCCGGAGAGAAUCUUCCGUAGUGCGGCCACGUAGUCGCCGUUUGUCGAUCGUACCGCAAUAAUUCCUUAUUGCUCCUCCAACCCCUAACCUGACCCUAACCCUAACUCCUUCUUUUCUUUCUCGACGUUCCUCCUCUCCUCCUCCUCCUCCUUUCCGUCUGGUCUUCUCCUUCUUCUUCGACAUCUUUCCUUCCUCUCGCGUCCUCGUUUCGCUGUCCCCGCCGCGUUCCACUCUCAUCCACCUCACGUCCAGCCACCCUUCCGCAUCCAAUCCCUACCGCCCCUCAUCAUCUUCUACUUUUGAAAGGGUUGCGAGGAUUAACGGAAAACCAUUAAAUCUGGCACGAUCGAAGGAUCAAGAGGACAAAACGAUAACGUGCCUCGUGCCAUAAUAACGUGCGUUCUAGUUCAUGAGUCGCUAUACUGCUAAAAGUAAUAAUCUUCCGAAACGAGUUAUAUGCUAUUCCGAGAAGUCUCUUAUUUGGAACCGUUUCAAGAAUAAAAUGGAUUUCAUAGAGACAAAUUUUCCACGUAUCCAGAAACUUUAAAUGACGACCUCUUCGAAUUUUAUGUUAACACUCAAUAAAACUAGC